rnacentral:lncRNA from 10 species
AGCCCAAGAAAAGAGAGAACCUUGCUGAAGGAUCCAUCCUGGAGGGGGAAGGGCGGGCUCUGAUGGGGGAGGAGGGAGGAAGGCAAAGAGUGAAGAAGAUGAAGGAGACCUGGAAGUGACUAUUAUUUCAAGAGAUGGCCCUGAUAAGCUUAUUGUGGAGCAUGGAGCUUGGUCAGUGACCUUUAACUGGACUCGGGUUACAUUAGCUGUCACUACUCAGUCAUCACAAAGAUAGUCCUGUCCUUUUGAAAGACACGUACAAGGUCACUGAAUCUUGGGCCACACUGCUAGUAAGUGGGAAAGCAGAGAUUCAAGCCUCAC